UACGGGGGGAGCAAGCGUUGUUCGGAUUUACUGGGCGUAAAGGGCGCGUAGGCGGCCACCGCAAGUCGGUUGUGAAAUCUCCGGGCUUAACCCGGAAAGGUCAGCCGAUACUGCGGGGCUAGAGUGCAGAAGGGGCAACUGGAAUUCUCGGUGUAGCGGUGAAAUGCGUAGAUAUCGAGAGGAACACCUGCGGCGAAGGCGGGUUGCUGGGCUGACACUGACGCUGAGGCGCGAAAGCUAGGGGAGCGAACGGG
rnacentral:rRNA from 1 species